GUCUGUGCGGAGUUAGUGCACAGUCUGGCCUGCCCCCUGAAAACUUUAAAGGGCCGCGGUAUUUGAACCGUGCUAAGGUAGCAUAAUAAAUAGUCUUUUAAUUGAGGUCUAGGAUGAAUGGUUGGACAGGAGGCAAUCUGUUUUAAUUGUAAUGUUUGAAUUUUACUUCUAAGUGAAAAGGCUUAGAUUGGAUGGUGGGACGAUAAGACCCUAUAAAGCUUUACAUUUUAUUUUUAGGUUAAAGAAUUUAUGGUUUUUUAUUCUUAUUUAAUAGUAUGUUUCGUUGGGGCGACGAGAAUAUAAAAUAUUAACUGUUUUUUUAUAAAAAUAAGUUUUUUAGGAGAUUUGAUCCUUUAUAGAGAUUAAGAGAGUUAAGUUACUUUAGGGAUAACAGCGUAAUUUUUCUUGAGAGUUCAUAUCGACAGAAGUAGUUGCGACCUCGAUGUUGAAUUAAGAUACCUCCCAGGUGCAGCAGCUUUGGUGGUGGGUCUGUUCGACCCUUAAAAUCUUACAUGAUUUGAGUUCAGACCGGCGUG
rnacentral:rRNA from 1 species